UGGGGAAUCUUGGACAAUGGGCGCAAGCCUGAUCCAGCCAUGCCGCGUGGAUGAUGAAGGCCUUAGGGUUGUAAAAUCCUUUUCGCCGAGGACGAUAAUGACGGUACUCGGAGAAGAAGCUCCGGCUAACUUCGUGCCAGCAGCCGCGGUAAUACGAAGGGGGCUAGCGUUGUUCGGAUUUACUGGGCGUAAAGCGCGUGUAGGCGGGUCGUUAAGUUGGGGGUGAAAUCCCGAGGCUCAACCUCGGAACUGCCUUCAAAACUGGCGACCUGGACCUAAGUAGAGGCAAGUGGAAUUGCGAGUGUAGAGGUGAAAUUCGUAGAUAUUCGCAGGAACACCAGUGGCGAAGGCGACUUGCUGGACUUAUGGUGACGCUGAGACGCGAAAGCGUGGGGAGCAAACAGGAUUAGAUACCCCAGUACCCUGAGCGGGCUGGCAAGGCGCAU
rnacentral:rRNA from 1 species